AGCAGAGUGGCUCGGUGGAAAGAGCCCGGGCUUGGGAGUCAGAGGUCAUGGGUUCGAAUCCCGGCUCUGCCA
rnacentral:tRNA from 1 species